AGUGAACGCUGGCGGCGUGCUUAACACAUGCAAGUCGAACGAGAACGGAUUAUAGCUUGCUAUAAUUGUCAGCUAAGUGGCGCACGGGUGAGUAAUGUAUAGGUAAUAUGCCUCUUACUAAGGGAUAACAAAUGGAAACGUUUGCUAAUACCUUAUACUCCUUAUUAACCUACGUUAACAAGGGAAAGAUUUAUUGGUAAGAGAUUAGCCUGUAUUGUAUAAGUUAGUUGGUGGGGUAAUGGCUUACCAAGACUAUGACACAUAACUGGUUUGAGAGGAUGAUCAGUCACACUGGAACUGAGACACGGUCCAGACUCCUACGGGAGGCAGCAGUGGGGAAUAUUGCACAAUGGACGAAAGUCUGAUGUAGCAACGCCGCGUGGAGGAUGACACAUUUCGGUGCGUAAACUCCUUUUAUAUGAGAAGAUAAUGACGGUAUUAUAUGAAUAAGCACCGGCUAACUCCGUGCCAGCAGCCGCCGCCG
rnacentral:rRNA from 1 species